rnacentral:rRNA from 1 species
UUUGUUUUUUAAUUAAAAACUAGAAUGAAAGAUUUUACAUUUUAAUUUCUUUAUUAAAUAUAAUACAUUAACUUAUAUUAAAUAUAAAAAUAUAUUUAUAAAAUAAAAAGACGACAAGACCCUAUUAAAUUUUACUUAUUGUUUAGCUGGGGCAGCUUUUUAAAUAAAACUUUAAAAUUUAUAAUAUAAUAAUAUAUCUAUACUAAAAUUAAAAAAUCUAUUAUAAAUAAAUUAAUCUAAUUACUAUAGGGAUAACAGCGUUAUAUUUUUUUCAAGUUCAUAUUUAAAAAAAUCAUUGCGACCUCGAUGUUGAAUUAUAUUUCUUUAUUAAUGCAAUAA